rnacentral:rRNA from 1 species
CCUACGGGGCGCAGCAGUGGGGAAUAUUGCGCAAUGGGCGAAAGCCUGACGCAGCGACGCCGCGUGAGGGAUGAAGGUCUUCGGAUCGUAAACCUCUGUCAGGAGGGAAGAAGUGGUUAUAUGCGAAUAGUGUAUGACUUUGACGGUACCUCCAAAGGAAGCACCGGCUAACUCCGUGCCAGCAGCCGCGGUAAUACGGAGGGUGCGAGCGUUAAUCGGAAUCACUGGGCGUAAAGCGCGCGUAGGCGGCUUUUCAAGUCAGGGGUGAAAUCCCACGGCCCAACCGUGGAACUGCCUUUGAAACU